UGGGGAAUAUUGCACAAUGGGCGCAAGCCUGAUGCAGCAACGCCGCGUGAACGAUGAAGGUCUUCGGAUCGUAAAGUUCUGUUGCAGGGGAAGAUAAUUACGGUACCCUGUGAGGAAGCCCCGGCUAACUACGUGCCAGCAGCCGCGGUAAUACGUAGGGGGCUAGCGUUAUCCGGAUUUACUGGGCGUAAAGGGUGCGUAGGUGGUCUUUCAAGUCGGUGGUUAAAGGCUACGGCUCAACCGUAGUUAGCCUCCGAAACUGGAAGACUUGAGUGCAGGAGAGGAAAGUGGAAUUCCCAGUGUAGCGGUGAAAUGCGUAGAUAUUGGGAGGAACACCAGUAGCGAAGGCGGCUUUCUGGACUGCAACUGACACUGAGGCACGAAAGCGUGGGUAGCAAACAGG
rnacentral:rRNA from 1 species